UUUGAGGUGGACGAGGAGGGUGAGGGAAUUGUCGAGGCGCCGAGAGGAAGAGCGGGCAAUUACUCCACCAUCGAUGACAAGUUACUAUGCUACACUUAUUUGCAUGUGUCGAAGGAUCCAUCCAUUGGAGGUGAUCAAAGUAGAGACGCGUAUUGGGGGCGAAUGACAGAACACUUUAAUGCUCACAACAAGAGUGGAAUUUACCGCUCUGAGAGAUCACUUCGGUCCCGAUGGUCGACAAUCAACUCGGAUUGUCAAAAGUGCGCGGCCGCGCAAAAGUCGGUGGACAAGAUUAACCCAAGUGGCACAAAUGAGGAUGAUCGAGUAAGUGGCAUCUCAUAUAUGUUCAUCAUACUUGUUUUUGGUGACCGAAGUGCUAACUUGUUUUGUUUUUCUUGUAGUACAACAUUGCACAAAACUUGUUCAAAGUAG
rnacentral:rRNA from 1 species